rnacentral:lncRNA from 1 species
CUCUUGCAGACUGAAGAAGCCUGCCCUCUCUGGAGUCUCCCUCACCUUUAUCUUCCUCCCCACUACCUUUCUCUUUUUCUCCUCCUCUAAAGCUGUAAACGCCAAGGACGCUUUUGAGUUACUCCUUUGUUUCUGGGAGAGCAAGUCCUGAGGAGGCAGAGAGGUGACUCAGUGGGAUCCCCGUUGGAAAUCAGUUACCUCCAUUGUAUAGAUGCGGAAACCAAAGCUCAGAGGUCCAGCACCACCAUCACCUACUCCAAGUGACCAUCCCUGACUGCUCCAUCUGAAUGUUGUUUCAUCUGUAUCUCUGCCUUACCACUCCACAGCAUUUAUCAUGAUCUGCAGCUAUCUUUUAUUUCUAUUUGAUUUCUUGUUUCUUGUCUGUCUCUUCCCCUAGAAUGUGGAUUUCACCCCCUAAGGGCAGGAAUUCUUGUCUGUUUUUUUUCCCACUUCUUGAUUCCUAGCCCCUAAAAUAGUACCUGACAAUAAAUGUUGAAAGACAGAGGGGCAGAAGGAAACAAAGAAAUACAGGCUAAAUGACUGAGGGAAUAAAUGAAUGAAUGAAUAUAUACAUGUAAGGCUAAA